AUUCGUUCAUCUGAUUCAAGGAGCCUUAAAGAAAGGAAGCUUCAGCUGGAGACUGGCUGCAGUAGACUGGGUGGAUGAACUGAAAGAUGAGAUCAUGUUUGUAGUGCACACUGAGGUCUCAGCAAGAAUCUUCUAAUUUGAGAGGCAUCAGUAUUUUACCCACUCAUGUGCUGAAAAACUAAAGAAUGAAAUCAGGAGUUUAAAAGUUAUUUUCAGCAUCUGGACUAAAUAAAGGAGAUGUUUACCACAUGUGGAGCUUAGCAAGAAGAAUGAGCAUGAAUCAAGAAUGCCCCACCCCAAUGCCCCCUUUGAAACAUUUUUAAGUGGUUCCAUGAAAUAGAGUGUAUUUUAAUAGUUGC